rnacentral:rRNA from 1 species
UCAUGGCUCAGGACGAACGCUGGCGGCGUGCCUAGGACAUGCAAGUCGAACGCGAGGGCCUUCGGGCCUGGGAGUGGCGAACGGCGGAGUAAUACGUAAGCAACGUGCCCUGAAGAUCGGGAUAUACCGGGGAAACCCGGGGCAAUACCGGAUGUGGCCGUUUCCCGGCAUCGGGAGACGAUUAAAUGGUUUUUCGCUUCAGGAGCGGCUUACGGCCUAUCAGCUAGUUGGUGAGGUAACGGCCCACCAAGGCUUCGACGGGUAACUGGUCUGAGAGGACGACCAGUCCGAGUGGGACUGAGACACGGCCCACACACCUACGGGUGGCAGCAGUUGGGAAUCUUGCACAAUGGGGGAAACCCUGAUGCAGCGACGCCGCGUGAAGGAUGAAGGAUUUAGGUCUGUAAACUUCUUUUGCCAAGAAAGACUUAGGACGGUACUUGGCGAAUAAGCUCCGGCUAACUACGUGCCAGCAGCCGCGGUAAUACGUAGGGAGCAAGCGUUGUCCGGAUUUACUGGGCGUAAAGGGCGCGUAGGCGGUCUGUUAAGCGUGAAGUGAAAUCUCCAGGGCUCAACCCGGAAACUGCUUUGCGAACUGGCAGACUAGAGGAAGGCAGAGGUGAAUGGAAUUCCUGGUGUAGCGGUGACAUGCAUUGAUAUCAGGAGGAACACCCGAAGCGAAGGCGGUUCACUGGGCCUUAUCUGACGCUGAGGCGCGAAAGCGUGGGUAGCAAACAGAAUUAGAUACUCUGGUAGUCCACGCCCUAAACGAUGGAUACUAGGCGUCGGGGGUAUCGACCCCUCCGGUGCCGCAGUUAACGCAAUAAGUAUCCCGCCUGAGUAGUACGACCGCAAGGUUGAAACUCAAAUGAAUUGACGG